AUGACCACUCUAUCAUCAUCAUCAUCAUCUGCCCUCAUUUCUAUCAUCGUAGUACUACUACUGCUAGUAUUACCACCAGCCAUCUCGGCUUCUUCUCCAACGAUGACCAAUGGUCGCGCCGGCAGCGACACUGACCUUGCCGCGCUGCUGGCUUUCAAAGCCAAGGUCUCCGACCCAGGUGGCGUCUUGUCCGGCAACUGGACAGCUGGUACGUCCUUCUGCCACUGGGUUGGUGUCUCGUGCAGCCGGCGCAGGCAGCGCGUCACUGCUGUUGAGCUACCGGACGUUUCCCUAUAUGGAUCUCUUGCUCCUCACCUUGGUAACCUCUCCUUCCUCUCUGUGCUAAACCUCAAUAAUACCAACCUCACCGGGUCAAUUCCCAACGAGAUUGGAAGACUGCAUCGCCUCAAGUUUUUAUAUCUUGGGUGCAAUAGCCUGUCAGGUAGCAUCCCUACUAGCAUAGGAAACCUAACAAGGCUUCAAGUUCUUGCCCUAUAUCUUAACCAUCUCUCUGGUUCAAUUCCGGCAGAGCUACAGAACCUACACAGUCUUGGCAAUUUGAAUCUCUUCGGGAAUUACCUUAGUGGCUCAAUACCAAGUAAUCUAUUCAACAAUACUUCUUUAUUAAGUUUUCUGAACUUUGGCAACAACAGCUUGACAGGGCCAAUACCAUAUAGCAUUGGCUCCUUGCAGAUCCUCGAGUUCUUUAGCGUACAAGCCAAUACUCUUACUGGACCGGUGCCUCCAGCAAUCUUCAACAUGUCUAAACUAUAUUUUAUCAGUUUCGCUUUAAACUACAACUUAACAGGUUCAAUCCCCAACAACCAAAGUUUUAGUCUCCCGGUGCUAGAAGAAAUCGAAAUCCAAGGUAAUAGUUUCACAGGUCAGAUUCCAUUGGGCUUUGCAUCUUGUCCAUACCUCCAAACUCUUUCCCUUGGCGAGAACUCAUUUGAAGGUGUUGUUCCGACAUGGUUGGCCAAACUGACUCAACUCAGCUUCCUAUUCCUCAAUGAUAACGACCUUGUCGGUACAAUACCUGUUGUACUUGGCAACAUGACUUCUCUAAGUGUUCUAGAACUGGGAUCAUGCAAUUUGAUCGGGCCCAUUCCGGUAGAAAUUGGACAGCUAGGUCAACUCUCAGUCUUGAUUAUUGGAUAUAAUCAACUAACUGGAUCCGUUCCAGCUUCUCUUGGUAACUUAUCUGAAUUAGCAUUCCUAGAAUUGGAAAAAAAUCUGUUGGUCGGACAGGUGCCUACAACAAUUGGAAACAUGCACUCUUUGGAGCAUUUUGAUAUUUCAAGAAAUCGCCUAAAGGGAGAUCUCAACUUCUUGUCCAUGUUUACAAAGUUUAGAAAGCUCCGGGUGCUUGCCAUCAAUUCGAAUAAUUUCACUGGUUGUAGCCUCCCUGACUAUGUAGGAAAUCUAUCGAGCCAGCUGCAAAUAUUUUUGGCGAGUGAAAUCAACUUAGUUGGGGAAAUUCCACCAACGAUUUCAAAUUUAACCGGUCUCACUACGAUAGAUCUUUCAAUAAACCAGUUGCACAGCGUAAUUCCACAAUCCAUCAUGAUGAUGGAGAAUCUACAGUGGCUUGAGCUCGAUACAAAUAACUUGUUUGGCCCCAUCCCAUCUCAGAUUACAAUGCUAAAAAAUCUAGAAGCUUUGGUCCUGUACGACAAUGAAUUCACUGGUUCCAUACCAGAUUACAUUGGUAACCUCAGCAGGUUAGAACACCUAGUGUUAUCUGGUAACCAGUUAUCAUCCACUAUACCACCAAGUUUGUUUCAUCUUGAUAGUCUCCUUCAGCUAGAUCUAUCUCAAAACCUUUUGAAUGGCACAUUGCCAGUUGACAUAGGCUAUUUGAAACAAAUUAAUCACAUUGAUAUCUCUACCAACCAUUUGGUCGGUAGCCUCCCAGAUUCAAUUGGACAACUCCAAAUGAUAUCCUUCUUUAACAUAUCACACAAUUCGUUUGGUAAUUCGAUUCCUAACUCUUUUGCCAAACUAACCAGCUUGCAAACUUUGGACUUAUCCCAUAACCACAUCUCUGGUACCAUCCCAAAGUACCUAGCCAAUUUUACUAUCCUCACAAGUCUGAACCUCUCUUACAAUAACCUACAAGGACAGAUACCCGAAGGAGGUGUUUUCUCAAACAUCAGCCUGCAAUCCUUGAUGGGGAACUCGGGGCUAUGUGGUGCUUCAGCUUUUGGAUUUUCACGGUGUCCACGUAACACUACCCAAGGAAAAAGCGACCACAUGCUGAAAAUUUUGCUCCCUACAGUCAUCGUAGUAACUGGAGUUGUGGCUUUAUGCAUAUAUGCAAUGAUCAAAAAGAAAAUUAAGAGGCAUCAAGGGAUGACAGUGUCUGCUGGCAUGGUUAGCCAUCAGUUGGUCUCCUACCAUGACCUUGUUCGUGCCACUCAAAAUUUUAGCGAGAGCAACUUGUUGGGGUCUGGAAGCUUUGGAAAAGUUUUUAAGGGCCAACUAAGCAAUGGUGUGGUGGUUGCAAUAAAGGUUCUUGACAUGCAGUUGGAACAAGCCAUUAGAAGCUUCGAUGCCGAGUGUGGUGUGCUACGCAUGACGCGCCACCGCAACUUGAUAAAGAUUCUCAACACCUGCUCCAACCUUGAUUUCAGAGCGUUGGUGCUGCCAUACAUGCCCAAUGGCAGCUUAGAAAUGCUCCUUCACUACUCUGGAGGCACAAGGAACUUGGGGUUCCUUGAGAGGUUGGGCAUCUUGCUCGACGUGUCCAUGGCAAUGGAGUAUCUGCACCAUGAGCACCACCAGGUGAUCUUGCACUGUGACCUGAAGCCAAGCAAUGUGUUGUUCGACAAGGACAUGACGGCACAUGUUGCAGACUUUGGCAUCGCAAGGCUGUUACUUGGUGAUAAUAGCUCCGUGAUUUAUUCGAGCAUGCCCGGAACUGUUGGCUACAUGGCACCAGAGUAUGGGUCCAUUGGAAGAGCAUCGAGAAAGAGCGAUGUCUUCAGCUACGGAAUCAUGCUACUUGAAGUCUUGACUGGAAGGAGACCCACAGAUGCAUUUUUUGUUGGAGAUCUCAGCCUCAGAAAGUGGGUGCUUGAGGCGUUUCCUAGGGAGGUUGUCAAUGUCGUGGAUGACCAGUUACUAUGUGGCUCUUCUUCGAGUGUCAGCUUGGAAGGCUUUCUUGUGCCGGUGUUUGAGCUGGGCUUGCUCUGCUCCAGCGACUCGCUUGACGAGAGGAUGACAAUGAGCGACAUUGUUGUGAGGUUGAAGAAGAUUAAAGUGGAGUACACCAAAGGGACAACAUGA
rnacentral:rRNA from 1 species